UACGGAGGGAGCUAGCGUUGUUCGGAAUUACUGGGCGUAAAGCGCACGUAGGCGGCUUUGUAAGUUAGAGGUGAAAGCCCGGGGCUCAACUCCGGAACUGCCUUUAAGACUGCAUCGCUUGAAUCCAGGAGAGGUGGGUGGAAUUCCGAGUGUAGAGGUGAAAUUCGUAGAUAUUCGGAAGAACACCAGUGGCGAAGGCGGCUCACUGGCCCGGUACUGACGCUGAGGUGCGAAAGCGUGGGGAGCAAACAGG
rnacentral:rRNA from 1 species